rfam:Triticum aestivum genome assembly, contig: Triticum_aestivum_CS42_TGACv1_scaffold_094490_2AL
UUUGUACUCCCUCCGUUCGAAAUUACUUGUCUCGAAAAUGGAUGUAUCUAGACAUAUUUUAAGUCUAGAUACAUCCAUUUUCGAGACAAGUAAUUCCGAACGGAGGGAGUACAUU